CACCCAUUGGGCAGGAGACUCUUUGCCACUGU
rnacentral:piRNA from 1 species